AUUAAAAUAUGCUCCGCCAAUCUAUCAAGCAGAAGUGAAAAAUCUGUGUUAGCCGAACAAGCUUUGCAGCAAAAAAUGCGUGUACGCAUGCGCCUGAGAGAAACCGUUGCUGUAGUGAAUUCAAAUUCCUGUGCGCGGGAGAGCGAGAGCGAGAGCGAGCGGAGCUGAUACCGAAGGGCGACAGAUCAUCAUUUACAGACGGAUUUUCUAAAGUUAUGUGUAACCCACCAUUGCUAGUUCUGAGCUCACGAGGCACCAUUUGCUGUAGAAAAGGAACCACUACGAAUUUCACACUGUAAUGAAAAUGGUAAUUCUUGAAAUAGUAAGCAGCAGCAGUUGCACUUCAAGGGCCCUGUCAAGUGUGCUGAAUGUCUCCGGUGUCCUGGAAGAGGAGGUGGUGCUUGAAAACUUAGGAGACUUUGUAAAUGCAUUUAUUGUACUUUUUUGGAUUAUUGUAUGUACUCAUCCUGGAGUACAACAAAGUGAUAGUUUACCCAAAAAUGAAAAUUCUGUCAUUAAAUACUUACCCUCGUGUCGUUCCAAACCCGUAAGACCUUUGCUCAUCUUCAGAAAACAAAUUAAGAUAUUUUUGAUGAAAUCCGAUGAUGAAAUUUGUUUGAUGAAAUUUUUGAUGAAACAACAGUCUUAUUACUGUGGAACGAAGUGAGGGUAAUUAAUGACAGAAUUUAACCUCAAAGUACCUCUUAAGAGUUUUUUUUCUUUUUUUUUCUUUCUGGCAAACAUUUGAAGUGUAAGAUGCAGUUUUUAUGAGCUCAAAGUACCUCUUGUGAGAAUGUUCAUGUGAAAUUACUCUAAACACUGGGUGAAGUAACCUCCCCAUUACUUAAAUUUGAUGGUGUUUUUGACUAUUUUUAAUGUGAAUGCAUUUGCUGUUUAAUGUUUAAAUAGUUAAGAUGCAGUUUCAUGAGCUCAGAGUACCUUUUGUGAGAACGGUAAUAUUCAGUGAUAUUAACCUAAACACUGGUUGAAGUAACCUCAGAUAGAUUAUUACCAUUAUUAAUCUAAUUAUUAUUUUAUGGUGUUUUACAUUUUUUGCAUGUUUGUGAAUGUAUUAAUGUAC